rnacentral:rRNA from 1 species
UACAGAGGGGGCAAGCGUUGUUCGGAAUUACUGGGCGUAAAGGGCGCGUAGGCGGCCUUCUAAGUCGAACGUGAAAUCCCCGGGCUCAACCCGGGAACUGCGUCCGAUACUGGAAGGCUUGAAUCCGGGAGAGGGAUGCGGAGUUCCAGGUGUAGCGGUGAAAUGCGUAGAUAUCUGGAGGAACACCGGUGGCGAAGGCGGCAUCCUGGACCGGUAUUGACGCUGAGGCGCGAAAGCGUGGGGAGCAAACAGG